GCUUGCUCCUGGAUGUCAGGCGGACGGGUGAGUAAUGCCUAGGAAUCUGCCUGGUAGUGGGGGAUAACGUCCGGAAACGGGCGCUAAUACCGCAUACGUCCUGAGGGAGAAAGUGGGGGAUCUUCGGACCUCACGCUAUCAGAUGAGCCUAGGUCGGAUUAGCUAGUUGGUGGGGUAAAGGCCUACCAAGGCGACGAUCCGUAACUGGUCUGAGAGGAUGAUCAGUCACACUGGAACUGAGACACGGUCCAGACUCCUACGGGAGGCAGCAGUGGGGAAUAUUGGACAAUGGGCGAAAGCCUGAUCCAGCCAUGCCGCGUGUGUGAAGAAGGUCUUCGGAUUGUAAAGCACUUUAAGUUGGGAGGAAGGGCAGUAAGUUAAUACCUUGCUGUUUUGACGUUACCAACAGAAUAAGCACCGGCUAACUUCGUGCCAGCAGCCGCGGUAAUACGAAGGGUGCAAGCGUUAAUCGGAAUUACUGGGCGUAAAGCGCGCGUAGGUGGUUCAGCAAGUUGGAUGUGAAAUCCCCGGGCUCAACCUGGGAACUGCAUCCAAAACUACUGAGCUAGAGUACGGUAGAGGGUGGUGGAAUUUCCUGUGUAGCGGUGAAAUGCGUAAUAUAGGAAGGAACCCGGUGGCGAAGGACCACCUGGACUGAUCUGACCUGAAGUGC
rnacentral:rRNA from 1 species